UACGUAGGGCGCAAGCGUUGUCCGGAAUUAUUGGGCGUAAAGAGCUCGUAGGCGGUUUGUCGCGUCUGCUGUGAAAACCUAAGGCUCAACCUUGGGCUUGCAGUGGGUACGGGCAGACUAGAGUUCGGUAGGGGUGACUGGAAUUCCUGGUGUAGCGGUGGAAUGCGCAGAUAUCAGGAGGAACACCGAUGGCGAAGGCAGGUCACUGGGCCGCAACUGACGCUGAGGAGCGAAAGCAUGGGGAGCGAACAGG
rnacentral:rRNA from 1 species